UGGGGGAUAUUGCACAAUGGGCGAAAGCCUGAUGCAGCGACGCCGCGUGGGGGAUGAAGGCUUUCGGGUUGUAAACCUCUUUCGCUAUCGAACAAGGCCCGCUUAGGGUGGGUUGAGGGUAGGUGGAGAAGAAGCGCCGGCUAACUACGUGCCAGCAGCCGCGGUAAUACGUAGGGCGCGAGCGUUGUCCGGAAUUAUUGGGCGUAAAGGGCUUGUAGGCGGCUUGUUGCGCCUGCUGUGAAAACGCGGGGCUUAACUUCGCGCGUGCAGUGGGUACGGGCAGGCUUGAGUGUGGUAGGGGUGACUGGAAUUCCAGGUGUAGCGGUGGAAUGCGCAGAUAUCUGGCGGAGCACCGAUGGCGAAGGCAGGUCACUGGGCCAUUACUGACGCUGAGGAGCGAAAGCAUGGGUAGCGAACAGG
rnacentral:rRNA from 1 species